rnacentral:rRNA from 1 species
AUGCACGCUGGCGGCGUGCCUAAUACAUGCAAGUCGCGCGAACAGAUAAGGAGCUUGCUCCUUUGACGUUAGCGGCGGACGGGUGAGUAACACGUGGGUAACCUACCUAUAAGACUGGGAUAACUUCGGGAAACCGGAGCUAAUACCGGAUAACAUUUGGAACCGCAUGGUUCUAAAGUGAAAGAUGGUUUUGCUAUCACUUAUAGAUGGACCCGCGCCGUAUUAGCUAGUUGGUAAGGUAACGGCUUACCAAGGCGACGAUACGUAGCCGACCUGAGAGGGUGAUCGGCCACACUGGAACUGAGACACGGUCCAGACUCCUACGGGAGGCAGCAGUAGGGAAUCUUCCGCAAUGGGCGAAAGCCUGACGGAGCAACGCCGCGUGAGUGAUGAAGGGUUUCGGCUCGUAAAACUCUGUUAUUAGGGAAGAACAAAUGUGUAAGUAACUGUGCACGUCCUGACGGUACCUAAUCAGAAAGCCACGGCUAACUACGUG